GAUGAAAGUUUGAUGUAAGGCAGGGACCGCUGGGAGGCAGGGCAGGGAGGAAAAUUUGAUAGAUGCCUAGGAGGUGGAACGUACAGGACCACUUAGAGGUAAUAGAAAUUGAGUGAUAUUCAGAAAGGUUGCUUUUUGUUUGUUUUAUUUAUUUUUUGUUGAUUAAUGGAAGUCUGGGACACAGCGAUGCAUUCAUUUUGGACUUGUUGAGUUUGUGGAGGAGUAUUUACAUGUCCCUGCAUAAUGAGCUGUUGGAGAUCCGGUAGUUAAGUCAAAAUACCAGUCUGCUGGAUUGAUCUAUCCUCUACUUAGUUAUGUUGGGGACUACGUUUUUGAGACUCUCCUUCUCCAUGUAAUUCCAGAUUGGAUUUGGCCCAAAGGGAAGCUGCAUGAGCUCUGGGAAGCAGAAGAGAAGCCACCGUCAUUAUAUUCUGAAGGUUAUUGUCUCCUGUAGGUGGUAAGAGACGGAUUCAGGAGUGCCACUGGCUCCAGUUUGUUCUUACUCUUCCCUGGCUUCCUGAUGCUGGCCUUGUCCACCCAAAGUGACCUCAGGCAUCCACCAGAUGCUUUACUGACAACUCAUAGAGAUGGCAGCCAUGAAAAGCCAACAAUCUUCCAUAGACUUUGCAGUCCCACCUCACCAGCAGGAUGUGCUGACUUCCAGAGCUCCUUGCAAGUCCUUACAUAAAAAGCUUGCUGACCCAAAGUGUGAGGUUCCCAAUGACUAUGCGAAGAGACUUCUCUGUUCUGCAUGUCUUGAAGAGGCGAGCUCAGUCACUCCAGAUUUCCCCCCUGCUCAACAGCAGGCUAGGAACUCUACCAACCACACAGAGAAAUCUCUGUUAUAGGAGAGACUCAGGGGGUGCAAUUGGUAAGCCUGCCCUGUUGUUUCCCCAGAGCUCUUGGAGCUCUGUGCUCUCAAACCUCCAGAGACUGCAGUUUUGAUCCGAAGGGAAAAAUUGAUUGAACUCCUAAAUUUACAUUUUUAUGAUUGUGUCUUUAAAGCUUAUUACUUUAAUAAUACCUCCCAUAUGCCCACUGUUUUUCAGAGCCAGCACUCCAUGCUUAUAUUUUGUAAUCAAAUUUUCUCUUUUAGAUGCCUGUCAUUUUUCAUGGACUUCUGAAGCUUUCUACCUUAGGGAAAGAUUAUGCAUGCAAAGAGCUGAGCAAGGAGCCUGACACCUAAUACGUGCUCAAUAAAUGGUAGCUGCUGUUAUAGUUUGAUUUUAUU
rnacentral:lncRNA from 1 species